GACGAACGCUGGCGGCGUGCCUAAUACAUGCAAGUCGAACGCUUCUUUUCCCACCGGAGCUUGCUCCACCGGGAAAAGAGGAGUGGCGAACGGGUGAGUAUCACGUGGGUAACCCGCCCAUCAGAAGGGGAUAACACUUGGAAACAGGUGCUAAUACCGUAUAACAAUCGAAACCGCAUGGUGUCGUUUUGAAAGGCGCUGUACGGUGCCGCUGAUGGAUGGACGCGCGGUGCAUUAGCUAGUUGGUGAGGUAACGGCUCACCAAGGCCACGAUGCAUAGCCGACCUGAGAGGGUGAUCGGCCACAUUGGGACUGAGACACGGCCCAAACUCCUACGGGAGGCAGCAGUAGGGAAUCUUCGGCAAUGGACGAAAGUCUGACCGAGCAACGCCGCGUGAGUGAAGAAGGUUUUCGGAUCGUAAAACUCUGUUGUUAGAGAAGAACAAGGGUGAGAGUAACUGUUCACCCCUUGACGGUAUCUAGCCAGAAAGCCACGGCUAACUACGUGCCAGCAGCCGCGGUAA
rnacentral:rRNA from 1 species